rnacentral:lncRNA from 1 species
GGUGGGGAUUGGUUGCUCUUCUCAGGAAGUUCAAAAUACUCACAGGCUCUGGGGAUCUCUGUCCAAAUGACCCCAAACUUCCCCCAUCAACCCUUAGGCACACUUCAACUUUGCUUUGCUUUGGUUACAGGAUUCUCUUCUGAGACUUCAGGGACACUGAAGAAAGUGAGUGGAUCUGACCAGGGAAGAAAACCAACAGACUCUACCAGUAUCCCUAUGACUGGCUUCACUGGGAGAGAUUCCAUUACAGACACUGAAAGAGACAUAUGUGUCAUGGAGACAACUCUAAGAGCCACAGCCACUCAAGCCCCACUUCUCACUGUGCACACUGGAGCAGGUGACCUCAUCCCUGGGAUGCACAGGAGAACUGUGUCCUCUCCCACUUCACCCUCAGCUCCAAGUGAGAUAUCCUCUGGAGUCACCAUUGCCAUUGCAAGGCCCUCACUCUCCAUGACUCCAGUAGAACCCACAGCUAGCCCUGGCUCCAGUGGUCCCUUGAACAUCAGCCUAUCUGGGACAAUUUUUUCUACACCCCUUGCAGACACACCUAUAGCUGAAAUAGCUCCUGGAGAGAGUUCCAGCACCCCCCCUUCUUUAUGGUCCACUUCAGUUGAUUCUUUCAAUACUGUUGGCUCAGCCCCAGGAACUGAAAUCACCUCCAUUGUGCCUCUAUAUUCACUUCCAACAGCCUCAAGUGCCACAGAAACCACACCAAAUCCUGAUUUGUCAGUGAGACCUACCACACUAGAGCCAGGCUUAGCUGCCCUAACUUCCACUGCUCCCAGCAUCAUUCCAACACCGUCUGGAGAAGACAUAAACACCUCACUGGUGUCUAUAGAAGGACCAACAGAAGAUAAAACAGUGUCCAGCACCUUCCCAGCAAAUGCAGACACCCCUGGUAUCACUCACAGGGAGCACUUCUUCACAGGUCCUGGAGUAACUUUUCAACCUGUCAUGGCCUCUACUUCUCUGCCCAAUUUAUGUGAAGGGAUCAGUUAUUCCAGAAAUAUCCCCUCACCCUCUUUAGGGAGUAGGAAAAGCACUGCCAUGAUUGGAGUCUGGACAAGCCCAGCUGAACCUCACACUGUGGAGCCUAAGAAGCCCACCCCUGCUGAGGGUUCCCUCUGUAUUGGACCAGUGACUGAAUUUAGCAGCAGGGAAAGUGGACAUUUAAAGAAUAGCUUGGCCUCUGCUGUGACCCUUAACUCUCCACUACCAAGCCCCAUUGCUUCUAGCAGCAUGGAUGUAGACUCAGAAAUGGCGUUAGGAUUAUCUCUCUGGACAGACAGCUCCUCAUCACAAGUAGAAGUCAGUUUUCCUGAUCUGGUUUCCACCACAGGAGAUGGACCCUCCCUGGGAACAGAACCUCACAAUCCCAUCCACGAAUCUCUGAGCCCAUGGCCAGGCUCCUUUCCUGCCUUAAGUACUCCCACAGCCUGCACAAGAACAGCUUCCCUUGACACUGCUACUUCAUUGGAGGACCCAGGGCCAGCCAGCCUGACUCCAGAGACUGAGAGAAAACCACAGGCAACACCAACUCCAGUUAUCACCCUGCCUCCAGCCAGCACACAGGAAGUUUGCACAACAGCAUCUCCCAGUCCUUCUGACACAACCACAGAGGGCAACAGUGUCAAGUCAGGGACAACCUCUGUUUCUGAUCAAGUGCCUUCCACUUCCAGCCUCUUCCUAAGUAGUGAUGCUGGUGUGGUGCCAGUCACACAUGCCCAAGGCCAUGAAGCACCAGGAAGCACAGGAGCACUGAUGAGGAGCCCCCUGACAUCUAUGUGUUCUAUUAUGCCCACAGGUAAGUAGGUAUCUCGUCUCUGUCUCUGUGUUGGAGGUUUAUCCUUUUUAGGGCCUUGUUUACCAAUCUUACAGAGGAAACAUGAAAUUAUUUUAGAGAUCAAUCCUCAAGAGCUCUUCUGAACCUCUGAUUCCUUUCUAUGUACAGCCUGGAGAAGAGGAGUUUUAGAGGUAGGAGUGAGGUUCCCACUGCUAAGGUCUUUUAUAUAAUCAACCAUAGGUAUAAAGUUGGAAGGAAACUUUGAAGUAUCAGGUAUUAUGGAUAGCCUCUCAUUUUACAGAUAUGGAUACUGAGGCUUAGAGAAGUAAAAUAAUUAGCUCAGGGUGAUUGGAUAGGACUAGAAGGGGACCCUCAAUGGCCACCUAGCUGGACACCAUCAUUUUACAUAUGGGAAAACUGCAGAGAAGUCAAGUGACAUAUGCCCUAUGACACAAAAUUAGAAAGCAUCAGAGGUGAGAUCUGAACCCUGGACUCCAUUAUGCUG